ensembl:snRNA U6 U6 spliceosomal RNA
GUGUUAGCUUUGACAGCUCAGAUACUAAAAUUAGAACAAAGAUUAUCUUGAUUCUUGCACCAGGAUGACAUGCAAAUUCAUGAAGCAUCCCACAUUUUU